rnacentral:rRNA from 1 species
AAAUUGAAGAGUUUGAUCAUGGCUCAGAUUGAACGCUGGCGGCAGGCCUAACACAUGCAAGUCGAACGGUAACAGAAAGCAGCUUGCUGCUUUGCUGACGAGUGGCGGACGGGUGAGUAAUGUCUGGGAAACUGCCUGAUGGAGGGGGAUAACUACUGGAAACGGUAGCUAAUACCGCAUAACGUCGCAAGACCAAAGAGGGGGACCUUCGGGCCUCUUGCCAUCGGAUGUGCCCAGAUGGGAUUAGCUUGUUGGUGGGGUAACGGCUCACCAAGGCGACGAUCCCUAGCUGGUCUGAGAGGAUGACCAGCCACACUGGAACUGAGACACGGUCCAGACUCCUACGGGAGGCAGCAGUGGGGAAUAUUGCACAAUGGGCGCAAGCCUGAUGCAGCCAUGCCGCGUGUAUGAAGAAGGCCUUCGGGUUGUAAAGUACUUUCAGCGGGGAGGAAGGGAGUAAAGUUAAUACCUUUACUCAUUGACGUUACCCGCAGAAGAAGCACCGGCUAACUCCGUGCCAGCAGCCGCGGUAAUACGGAGGGUGCAAGCGUUAAUCGGAAUUACUGGGCGUAAAGCGCACGCAGGCGGUUUGUUAAGUCAGAUGUGAAAUCCCCGGGCUCAACCUGGGAACUGCAUCUGAUACUGGCAAGCUUGAGUCUCGUAGAGGGGGGUAGAAUUCCAGGUGUAGCGGUGAAAUGCGUAGAGAUCUGGAGGAAUACCGGUGGCGAAGGCGGCCCCCUGGACGAAGACUGACGCUCAGGUGCGAAAGCGUGGGGAGCAAACAGGAUUAGAUACCCUGGUAGUCCACGCCGUAAACGAUGUCGACUUGGAGGUUGUGCCCUUGAGGCGUGGCUUCCGGAGCUAACGCGUUAAGUCGACCGCCUGGGGAGUACGGCCGCAAGGUUAAAACUCAAAUGAAUUGACGGGGGCCCGCACAAGCGGUGGAGCAUGUGGUUUAAUUCGAUGCAACGCGAAGAACCUUACCUGGUCUUGACAUCCACAGAACUUUCCAGAGAUGGAUUGGUGCCUUCGGGAACUGUGAGACAGGUGCUGCAUGGCUGUCGUCAGCUCGUGUUGUGAAAUGUUGGGUUAAGUCCCGCAACGAGCGCAACCCUUAUCCUUUGUUGCCAGCGGUCCGGCCGGGAACUCAAAGGAGACUGCCAGUGAUAAACUGGAGGAAGGUGGGGAUGACGUCAAGUCAUCAUGGCCCUUACGACCAGGGCUACACACGUGCUACAAUGGCGCAUACAAAGAGAAGCGACCUCGCGAGAGCAAGCGGACCUCAUAAAGUGCGUCGUAGUCCGGAUUGGAGUCUGCAACUCGACUCCAUGAAGUCGGAAUCGCUAGUAAUCGUGGAUCAGAAUGCCACGGUGAAUACGUUCCCGGGCCUUGUACACACCGCCCGUCACACCAUGGGAGUGGGUUGCAAAAGAAGUAGGUAGCUUAACCUUCGGGAGGGCGCUUACCACUUUGUGAUUCAUGACUGGGGUGAAGUCGUAACAAGGUAACCGUAGGGGAACCUGCGGUUGGAUCACCUCCUUACCUUAAAGAAGC